AUUACCAAGGCUUCUGACUGGAAUGUCAUGUUUGAGAGAUAUACAUAGACUCAGAUAUGACCAUGCAGUUUUAAGAAACUAAGGUUGACUUUUAUGAAACAUGGAGGCUCUUGGAAAUGUUGGCCUGACACCUUGCUUACAGAGUCCUAGCAGCCUUACCAGAAGGAAAAGAGAAGGAGCAGGUGGGUGCAGGUGAUGCUUCUCUGACUUAGGAGUGUGUCUCUGAGAUCUGGCUUGGACCUGAAGCCUGGACACAAGCCACUCUGCAGACAUGUCACCCACCCAUAGAAAUAAGACAUUUGAGACCUCAUAGAAAGAAGACAUGUGGAGACACCCCCAAAGGGAGCAAUUCAGGGUGACAACAGCAAAGCCCUUUUCAUGAUCUGUUUGAAUUACUGCCUUCUGUCCCAGCUCGCCAGUUCUCACAUGGGACCAGAUGGGAAGGUGCCAUUGGGAGACCCAGCCUUCAUGCCAGAUUCCUGGGCAAUCUGGUCCUGCAUCUCUGCUGUGAGAAGGGGUAGGCUAAGGCUGGAAUCAUCUGGAGGCCUCCAGAAGGAGCCAUAGAAGAUGGCAGGUGUUUCAUGUGGCUGCACUAAGGGCUCUCAUGGCCUGGGUCCAGCCUAACAGGCCCUUUUUUGACCAAUCCUUGGAAAUCAUGUCCACUGCAUUUUAUUGAUUACAGCUAAAAGUACUGAAGGAAGCAUAUGAGCCUUCUGGCUGGUCUCACAUUCAGUUGGCAAAUCCUGGAAGUGGCCUGGCCAUCAUGCAGUAUCUCUUCAUCCUUUCCUAUGGGAAGGACUUCUCUUCCCUUUUCACCAACCUGAGAGCUGUUCAUACAGAUGGUGCCCGUAAUAAGCUGGAUAACUUGGAAGCAGUGGCUGAGCUGUCUGGG